GGUCCUGUAGCUCAGUUGGUUAGAGCACCUGACUCAUAAUCAGGGAGUCCUUGGUUCAAGUCCAAGCUGGACCAC
rnacentral:tRNA from 1 species